rnacentral:miRNA from 1 species
UGCUGCCUCACUACAUCAUGG